AGUGAACGCUGGCGGUAGGCCUAACACAUGCAAGUCGAACGGCAGCACAGGAGAGCUUGCUCUCUGGGUGGCGAGUGGCGGACGGGUGAGGAAUACAUCGGAAUCUACUCUGUCGUGGGGGAUAACGUAGGGAAACUUACGCUAAUACCGCAUACGACCUACGGGUGAAAGCAGGGGACCUUCGGCCCUUGCGCGAUUGAAUGAGCCGAUGUCGGAUUAGCUAGUUGGCGGGGUAAAGGCCCACCAAGGCGACGAUCCGUAGCUGGUCUGAGAGGAUGAUCAGCCACACUGGAACUGAGACACGGUCCAGACUCCUGCGGGAGGCAGCAGUGGGGAAUAUUGGACAAUGGGCGCAAGCCUGAUCCAGCCAUACCGCGUGGGUGAAGAAGGCCUUCGGGUUGUAAAGCCCUUUUGUUGGGAAAGAAAUCCAGCUGGCUAAUACCCGGUUGGGAUGACGGUACCCAAAGAAUAAGCACCGGCUAACUUCGUGCCAGCCGCCGCGGUAA
rnacentral:rRNA from 1 species